CAUUUAAAGCUAAAUAAUGGCGAGAGACCGAUAGCGAACAAGUACAGUGAUGGAAAGAUGAAAAGAACUUUGAAAAGAGAGUGAAAAAGUACGUGAAAUUGUUGAAAGGGAAGGGCUUGAGAUCAGACUUGGUAUUUUGCGAUCCUUUCCUUCUUGGUUGGGUUCCUCGCAGCUUACUGGGCCAGCAUCGGUUUGGAUGGUAGGAUAAUGACUAAGGAAUGUGGCUCUACUUCGGUGGAGUGUUAUAGCCUUGGUUGAUACUGCCUGUCUAGACCGAGGACUGCGUCUUUGACUAGGAUGU
rnacentral:rRNA from 1 species